rnacentral:tRNA from 1 species
GCACUGGUCGUCCAGCGGCAAGGAUACCGCACCGGGCACCGACGCGAAGCGUUGGUCAUGCGGUGACGCGGGUUCGAGUCCCGCCCGGUGCU